rnacentral:rRNA from 1 species
AGUGAACGCUGGCGGUAGGCCUAACACAUGCAAGUCGAACGGCAGCACAGGAGAGCUUGCUCUCUGGGUGGCGAGUGGCGGACGGGUGAGGAAUACAUCGGAAUCUGCCCAAUCGUGGGGGAUAACGUAGGGAAACUUACGCUAAUACCGCAUACGACCUUCGGGUGAAAGAGGGGGAUCGCAAGACCUCUCGCGAUUGGAUGAGCCGAUGUCGGAUUAGCUAGUUGGCGGGGUAAUGGCCCACCAAGGCGACGAUCCGUAGCUGGUCUGAGAGGAUGAUCAGCCACACUGGAACUGAGACACGGCCCAGACUCCUACGGGAGGCAGCAGUGGGGAAUAUUGGACAAUGGGCGCAAGCCUGAUCCAGCCAUACCGCGUGGGUGAAGAAGGCCUUCGGGUUGUAAAGCCCUUUUGUUGGGAAAGAAAUCUUUCAGGCUAAUACCCUGGGAGGAUGACGGUACCCAAAGAAUAAGCACCGGCUAACUUCGUG